rnacentral:rRNA from 1 species
UACGUAGGUGGCAAGCGUUGUCCGGAUUUAUUGGGUUUAAAGGGUGCGUAGGCGGCUUUGUAAGUCAGUGGUGAAAUAACGGUAGCUUAACUAUCGAGGUGCCAUUGAUACUGCAGAGCUUGAGUACAGAUGAGGUAGGCGGAAUUGACGGUGUAGCGGUGAAAUGCUUAGAUAUCGUCAAGAACACCUAUAGCGAAGGCAGCUUACUAGGCUGUAACUGACGCUGAGGCACGAAAGUGUGGGAUCAAACAGG